GGGAUACUGUAACUUUUGGCCCAAAAAGAGUUUUUAGCAAAAGCUACAUUUUAAGAUCAAAACCUAUUUUACGACAAAGUAAUUUUUUGCUGUAAAAGUAUUUAUCUAUCAAGUUCUAAAAGUUGUUCUAAAGUUGUAGAAGUCGUUUGUUGUGUGUUUGGUUGGUAAACUCAAAAAUUGGUUUUGAAUGACAAAAUGAUCAAAAAAGACAAAUGCCAUACCAAGAUAUGAAUCUAUCAUGGCAUCUCUUUCUUCUAUGG
rnacentral:lncRNA from 1 species